GACGAACGCUGGCGGCGUGCUUAACACAUGCAAGUCGAACGCUGAAGCUCAGCUUUUGUUGGGUGGAUGAGUGGCGAACGGGUGAGUAACACGUGAGUAACCUGCCCCCUUCUUUGGGAUAACGCCCGGAAACGGGUGCUAAUACUGGAUAUUCACUGGUCUUCGCAUGGGGGUUGGUGGAAAGGGUUUUUCUGGUGGGGGAUGGGCUCGCGGCCUAUCAGCUUGUUGGUGGGGUGAUGGCCUACCAAGGCUUUGACGGGUAGCCGGCCUGAGAGGGUGACCGGUCACAUUGGGACGGAGAUACGGCCCAGACUCCUACGGGAGGCAGCAGUGGGGAAUAUUGCACAAUGGGCGCAAGACUGAUGCAGCGAUGCCGCGGGAGGGAUGGAGGCCUUCGGGUUGUGAACCUCUUUCGCUCAUGGUCAAGCCGCAACAAUGGUUGUGGUGAGGGUAGUGGGUAAAGAAGCGCCGGCUAACUACGUG
rnacentral:rRNA from 1 species